rnacentral:rRNA from 1 species
AGCGAGCCUGCGAAGGCAAGCGAAUCUCUGAAAGCUGUUCUCAGUUCGGACUGCAGUCUGCAACUCGACUGCACGAAGCUGGAAUCGCUAGUAAUCGCGGAUCAGAACGCCGCGGUGAAUACGUUCCCGGGCCUUGUACACACCGCCCGUCACACCAUGGAAGUCUGCAAUGCCCAAAGCCGGUGGCCUAACCUUCGGGAAGGAGCCGUCUAAGGCAGGGCAGAUGACUGGGGUGAAGUCGUAACAAGGUAGCCGUAGGAGAACCUGCGGCUGGAUCACCUCCUUUCUAAGGAAGC